CCUACGGGAGGCAGCAGUGGGGAAUAUUGGGCAAUGGGCGCAAGCCUGACCCAGCAACGCCGCGUGAAGGAAGAAGGCUUUCGGGUUGUAAACUUCUUGUAAGAGGGAAGAGCAGAAGACGGUACCUCUGGAAUAAGCCACGGCUAACUACGUGCCAGCAGCCGCGGUAAUACGUAGGUGGCAAGCGUUGUCCGGAUUUACUGGGGGGAAAGGGCGUGUAGCCGGGCUGACAAGUCAGAUGUGAAAUUCCGGGGCUCAACCCCGGACCUGCCUUUGAAACUGUUGGUCUUGAGUAUCGGAGAGGCCGGCGGAAUUCCUAGUGUAGCGGUGAACUGCGUAGCUAUUAGGCGGCACCCCAGUGGCGAAGGCGGCCUGCUGGACGACAACUGACGGUGAGGCGCGAAAGCGUGGGGAGCAAACAGGAUUAGAUACCCGAGUAGUC
rnacentral:rRNA from 1 species